GGUCAUAUAUGUGCUUUUCAAAGAUUAGCCAUGCAAGUCUAGUUUAAGCACCUAAACGCGAAACUGCGAAUGCUCAUAAAUCAGUAUCGUAUAUUUGAUAGUACUUACUACAUGGAUAACCGUGGUAAUCUAGAGCUAAUACAUGCUUAAACCCGACUUCGGAAGGGGUGUAUUUAUUAGAUUAAAAACCAAUGCCUUCGGGGCUCACUGGUGAUUCAUAAUAACUUCUCGAAUCGCAUGGCCUUGUGCCGGCGAUGGUUCAUUCAAAUUUCUGCCCUAUCAACUUUCGACGGCUGGGUCUUGGCCAGCCGUGGUUACAACGGGUAACGGAGGGUUAGGGCUUGACCCCGGAGAAGGAGCCUGAGAAACGGCUACUACAUCCAAGGAAGGCAGCAGGCGCGCAAAUUACCCAAUCCCAAUACGGGGAGGUAGUGACAAUAAAUACUGAUACAGGGCUCUUUUGGGUCUUGUAAUUGGAAUGAGUACAAUUUAAAUCCCUUAACGAGGAACAAUUGGAGGGCAAGUCUGGUGCCAGCAGCCGCGGUAAUUCCAGCUCCAAUAGCGUAUAUUAAAGUUGUUGCAGUUAAAAAGCUCGUAGUUGAACCUUGGGCCUGGCUGGCCGGUCUGCCUCACCGCAUGCACUGGUCCGGCCGGGCCUUUCCCUCUGGGGAGCCGCAUGCCCUUCACUGGGUGUGUCGGGGAACCAGGACUUUUACUGUGAAAAAAUUAGAGUGUUCAAAGCAGGCAUAUGCUCGAAUACAUUAGCAUGGAAUAAUAGAAUAGGACGUCGCGGUUCUAUUUUGUUGGUUUCUAGGACCGCCGUAAUGAUUAAUAGGGACAGUCGGGGGCAUCAGUAUUCAAUCGUCAGAGGUGAAAUUCUUGGAUCGAUUGAAGACUAACUACUGCGAAAGCAUUUGCCAAGGAUGUUUUCAUUAAUCAGGAACGAAAGUUAGGGGAUCGAAAACGAUCAGAUACCGUUGUAGUCUUAACCAUAAACUAUGCCGACUAGGGAUCGGGCGGUGUUAUUUCUUGACCCCGCUCGGCACCUUACACGAA
rnacentral:rRNA from 1 species